CUGCCGGCGUGCCUAAUACAUGCAAGUCGAGCGAAUCUCUUCGGUGGUUAGCGGCGGACGGGUGAGUAACACGUGGGCAACCUGCCUGUAAGACUGGGAUAACACCGGGAAACCGGUGCUAAUACCGGAUAAUCCUUUUCCUCUCAUGAGGAAAAGCUGAAAGUCGGUUUCGGCUGACACUUACAGAUGGGCCCGCGGCGCAUUAGCUAGUUGGUGAGGUAACGGCUCACCAAGGCGACGAUGCGUAGCCGACCUGAGAGGGUGAUCGGCCACACUGGGACUGAGACACGGCCCAGACUCCUACGGGAGGCAGCAGUAGGGAAUCUUCCACAAUGGACGAAAGUCUGAUGGAGCAACGCCGCGUGAGCGAUGAAGGCCUUCGGGUCGUAAAGCUCUGUUGUUAGGGAAGAACAAGUACCGGAGUAACUGCCGGUACCUUGACGGUAC
rnacentral:rRNA from 1 species